UACGUAGGGUGCAAGCGUUGUCCGGAAUUAUUGGGCGUAAAGCGCGCGCAGGCGGUCAAGUAAGUCUGGUGUAUAAACCUGUGGCUCAACCAUGGGACGCAUUGGAAACUGUUUGACUGGAGUGUAGGAGAGGGAAGUGGAAUUCCACGUGUAGCGGUGAAAUGCGUAGAGGUGUGGAGGAACACCAGUGGCGAAGGCGACUUUCUGGCCUAUAACUGACGCUGAGGCGCGAAAGCGUGGGGAGCAAACAGG
rnacentral:rRNA from 1 species